UUAAAUUUCGGGAAAAAUUUCGCGUGCCGCCUCUUCACGUAUCAUAUUCUCCUAAUCAAAAGUCGAAAUUUUAGCCAGAAUUUUUGAGAAUUGGAAUUUUACGAAAAAUUUCACGUGCCACCUCUUCACGUAUCAUAUUUUCCUAAUCAAAAGUCGAAAAUUUUACCAGAAUUUUUAAGAAUUGGAAUUUUACGAAAAAUUUCGCGUGCCACCUCUUCACGUAUCAUAUUUUCCUAAUCAAAAGUCGAAAAUUUUAGCC